UGCCCACGUUGGAGUGCAGUGUCAUGAUCUCGGCUCACGGCAACCUCUGCCUCCCAGGUUCAAGUGAUUCUCUUGCCUCAACCUCCCGAGUAGCUGGGAUUACAGGGUGACAGACAAACUGAUCUUGAGAACCCAUGACAAGGGUCUUGUUCUGCUGCACAGGCUGGAGUGCAGUGGCACAAUCAGGGCUCACUGAAGCCUUGCACUCUCAGGCUCAAGCAAUUCUUCCACCUCAGCCUCCCUAAUAGCUGGGACCACAGGUGCGUGCCACCAUGCCAGGUUAAUUUUUUUAAUUUUUUUUUUUGUAGAGACGAGGUCUCACUAUGUUGCCCAGGCUGAUCUUGAACUCCUGGGCUCAAGCAAUCCUCCUGCCUUGGCCUCCAAAAGUGCUGGGAUUGCAGACGUAAGCCACUGUGCCUGGCCUAAAAUAAUCUAAAACUCAAAAAUUUCACCUUGUA